ensembl:lncRNA
ACACAUAGUAGCGCCUAGGACAGAGAGCCAUACAAGUAGCCCUUGAAGGACAUGGGGUGGUCAGCCAAAGGUGUGUAAGUGAUCGAUGAAUGGUUUCAGCAUUCAAAGCAAGUGUUACCAAAGUUGUGUUACCUUGAGAACAUUACAGCAUCGGUAGCGGAAACCUGUGCCAGAGUGCUAGCUCAUUCUCCACUUUGGACCCUUUUCCUACUCCUGGGAACGAGGAUGUGAAGGGAUUGUGUGAGCGCGUGUGUGUGUACAUGUGUGCAAGUAUGGAUGGAUGCGUGUGCAAGUAUUUGGGGGGGAGGGUGGGUGUUUGAACAUUCCAUCAUUAUUCCAUGUUUUAUGUACAGAACAUAUAAUGUCUUGCACUCUCUGAAGUUGAUAUUGAAAUAUUCUCAUUGGUUCUCUUACAAAACAAAAUACCGACUGCUUGUUUCAGGUUGAGAAUGGAAACUUGUAUCAAAAGUGUGUGUGUGUGUGUGUGUGUGUGUGCAGCAUUAUGUGUGCCACGGUACUUUGGAUGCUUUAGUCUACAAAUAAAAACUUUAAAUUUAUUCUGUCAUGAAAUAUAGAAGAAAUAAAGUUCAAAUGUGUAUAUUGACCGUGCACAAACUCUCAAAAUGUUAUAAUAAAGCUUGUUUCCUCUCGGUUUCAGGGUGAUGGGUCAUUUUUCUUUGUACCUUAAAGCUGUGUAUUUUGACUUUGUUUCUACCUGGCACAGUGCACUAGACACAACUGGGGGCUUCAUAAAUGCUUGUUGUUGCAACAUAGUUCAUUUUAACUUAUAGUCUUGUUUCAUUGAAUAAAAGAAAGACCUUAAAAUAGCUAGCAUGGAUAUAGCACUUUAGAAACAUUUGGUUUGAUCCAACAACCCUGAGAAAAAGGUGCUAUUGUUAUCCCCAUUUCGCAAAUGAGGAAAUUAGAAAGACAAAAUUCAAGCUAUUUGUGUAGAGUCACAUAGCUCAUUGAGACAGGAUUUGAACUCAAGUCUUCUUAACUGCAAGUCAAAUGAUCUAGCAGGGGUCCUCAAACUUUUUAAAUAGGGGGCCAGUUCACUGUCCCUCAGACUGUUGGAGGACCGGACUAUAGUAAAAACAAAAACUUUGUUUUGUGGGCCUUUAAUAAAGAAACUUCACAGCCCUGGGUGAGGGGGGAUAAACGUCCUCAGCUGCCGCAUCUGGCCCACGGGCCAUAGUUUGAGGACCCCUGAUAGAGUUUGUGGUGGGCAGUACUCUAUAAUAGAGAUUUCGGUGAGAAUUCCUAGUAGGUUUAAAGGCACUAAGCUAUUUAGCAUUUAGAAUACAUCUAUGAGAGGGAAUCAACAGAAUCAGAAGCUUCAGGUAGCUGGGGAACACAAAUCAUUGACUGGGGCUUAUACUGGCAGAACUUAGAAAAUCGAGAGCCUGACUACUACCCAAUUCAAGCAAUAGUUUUAGUGGCCCAAGAAUGUACAUAUAGUUGGAGAUGAAGCACAACAACAUUUAGAACACAGGGCUCCAGCAGCAUUUGUACCAAGUAUAUACAUAUAUUUAAUUUUAAAUUUUAUUUUUCCUCAAUUGCAUGUGAAAACAAUUUUUAAUAUUUGGUUUUUAAAAUUUUUGAGUUUUAAAUUCUGUCCAGAGAGCAAGCUAUUUGAUAUAGGUUAUACAUGUUCAGGCAUGCAAAAUAUAUUUCCAUGUUAGCCAUGUUGUAAUAAAUGAAAA